UGGCCAAACCCUGUUCUUUCGAACGGAUCGGAUUACUUCGAUCGUCCACUAGCUGAGAUGGCCGCCGCGCGUGUCCUGUGCAAGAGAUUGACGCCCCUGUUCCUUGCCGCUCAUGCGUCUUCUUCCUCUGUCACCUGCGCAGGCGCUGCUGCUGCAGCAAGAACUGGCAUGGCCUUAAUGAAAAACAAUCCCAUGAAGCCGCCAUUUUCGGAUUCUAUUAAUGGAGCCAAGAGACCUUUUUCAUCCACAUCCACCAAGAACACUGAUCCUUUCGUCUCUUCAGAAAGAGGUUUAUGUUCCUAUAUCUUUUUAUUCGUGAACAUGACAUUUAUCUCGUCAGUGCUCACGGUGCGUGAAUGCUAAGGAGACAUUUAGGAGGUCCCAAGUAUUCCGAGGCAUAUCCCUCUUUUUUUGUCUAUCUAAAAAAAAGUAAUGUAUAAUGUGUUAUCAACCAGAGUUGGUAUGUUUUGUUAUUGUAUGACAGAGAGGGAUGCUUGUAAUCAAAAUAUGGAAAUGUUAAUUCUAAACGGGAUGCAUUGCACUUGCUAUUGUGUUAUGUCUUAUGCUGAUAAUACUACCUAUGUGGUUUUUCUUCUUUUGUAGUAGUAUAUAUGCAGUUUGUUUAUGUAAAUUAUGUGGAGACUGUAAGAGUUUAUUCCUGUUGGGUCUGAAUAUUCAGAGAGCUCACUCAGGUCUGCAUCAGCGUGGUGUUUGAUGGUUAUCACUGGGUUCACAUCCUCUGCCGUUGGCCCAUGCUAUGGCACCCGUUGGGCAAUCUUGGCCUUUUUUUCUUCCCAAUCAUCGUUGUAGAUAAAUAACAGUUUUUUUUUUAUUUCGUUCUUCCAGUUGAAUUUCGUUUCUAUCAUUUCCUCCCCAACGAUUCUCAUCCGCGGUGCAAUUCAUGGCUGGGAGCGGCAACUACAUCGUCGGGAGCUCUGGCGCGGGCUCGGGAUGCGGUGGUUGUGGUGGCUACAGGUGAGCGCCACUUGCCCGGUGUGCCGCGACUCGCCGCUGCCGUCGUUGAUGGCAACGCCGCUCGCGGAGGCCGUGCGUGCCCCUCGCGGAGGCCCUGCCGCCGCCGCUAGGGCCGAAGGGGAAAGAAAAGAUAGAGAUAAGGGAGAGAGAGGAGGAAGAAGGGUUAGACAGAGAAAAGAAUGACAUGCGGGUCCUACAUGGUAGUGGGUCCCAUAUUAUACUUGUGUAAAUUCCAAAUAGGUCUCACAUAUAAUAUUUUUUUAUUCUAACGCCACCUAAACAUCACAUGAGACGAAUACCAGGUAACACUGUCACGUUAGUAGCACUUCAGCAAAACCACACUUCAAAAUCGCUGAGGAAAUCA